AUGGCUUGCAGUCUCUUUUUGACUUCAUAGACAUUGGUAGAGCAGUCAAACCUGGCUCUUACAGAUUGGUAAGGCCGUAUCCUAGGCGUGCUUUCGAGGAUGGGGAGAGUGCUUUGACGCUGAAUGAACUCGGCCUAACCAGCAAACAAGAGGCCUUAUAUUUGGAGUUGAUUUAAGAUACAACUCCGCAAUCGCAGAGAUAGUCCACAUACUCUGUUAAAACAUUUUCAAUUUAUUUAAGAUACAUAGUCUCACAUGAAAUAUUGGCUGUCAAUUGUCACCGUUUGGUUGAAAAUUGACGUUUGAGUCGAUGAGCAGGAUCAAACGCAAAAAGGGCAAAGCAGAAACAAUGCCUGUCAUUUCGGGUCAUGUACAUAUUUAUGGUGUUAAAAAGAUGAGAUACAUAAUCAAUUUCACACACAGGGCAUUACUGAAA